rnacentral:rRNA from 1 species
AGUCGACGAGCGAGAGGAGCUUGCUUUCUCAGCGAGUGGCGAACGGGUGAGUAACGCGUGAGGAACCUGCCUCAAAGAGGGGGACAACAGUUGGAAACGACUGCUAAUACCGCAUAAGCCCACGGCUCGGCAUCGAGCAGAGGGAAAAGGAGCAAUCCGCUUUGAGAUGGCCUCGCGUCCGAUUAGUUAGUUGGUGAGGUAACGGCCCACCAAGGCAACGAUCGGUAGCCGGACUGAGAGGUUGAACGGCCACAUUGGGACUGAGACACGGCCCAGACUCCUACGGGAGGCAGCAGUGGGGAAUAUUGCACAAUGGGGGAAACCCUGAUGCAGCGACGCCGCGUGGAGGAAGAAGGUCUUCGGAUUGUAAACUCCUGUUGUUGGGGAAGAUAAUGACGGUACCCAACAAGGAAGUGACGGCUAACUACGUGCCAGCAGCCGCGGUAAAACGUAGGUCACAAGCGUUGUCCGGAAUUACUGGGUGUAAAGGGAGCGCAGGCGGGAAGACAAGUUGGAAGUGAAAUCUAUGGGCUCAACCCAUAAACUGCUUUCAAAACUGUUUUUCUUGAGUAGUGCAGAGGUAGGCGGAAUUCCCGGUGUAGCGGUGGAAUGCGUAGAUAUCGGGAGGAACACCAGUGGCGAAGGCGGCCUACUGGGCACCAACUGGCGCUGAGGCUCGAAAGUG